rnacentral:rRNA from 1 species
GACGAACGCUGGCGGCGUGCCUAAUACAUGCAAGUAGAACGCUGAAGGAGGAGCUUUCUCUUCUGGAUGAGUUGCGAACGGGUGAGUAACGCUUAGGUAACCUGCCUGGUAGCGUGGUAUAACUAUUGGAAACGAUAGCUAAUACCGCAUAACAGUAGAUGUUGCAUGACAUUUACUUAAAAGUUUCAAUUUCUUCACUACCAUAUGGACCUGCGUUGUAUUAGCUAGUUGGUGUGGUAACGGCUCACCAAGGCGACGAUACAUAGCCGAACUGAGAGGGUGAUCGGCAAAAAUGGGAAUGAGAAAAGGCACAGAAUACUACGGGAGGCAGCAGUAGGGAAUCUUCGGCAAUGGACGGAAGUCAGAACGAGCAAAGACGAGUGAGUGAAGAAGGGUUUCGGAUCGUAAAGAUCUGUUGUAAGAGAAGAAAGAGUGUGAGAGUGGAAAGUUCACACUGUGACGGUAGCUAACCAGAAAGGGACGGCUAACUACGUG